rnacentral:rRNA from 2 species
GUGCGAGACCGAUAGCGAACAAGUACCGUGAGGNAAAGAUGAAAAGAACUUUGAAAAGAGAGUUAAAGAGUACCUGAAACUGCUGAAAGGGAACCGAAUCGUUUCCAGUGUCUAUAAUCCAUGGUAUAUUUCAUUGGCGUGUAAGUGCGUGCAGCGUUUUGGAAGUGGUUUUCCUCUCCUGUCGUUGUUUUGCAUUUGCCUGCUGGUGCCCUGUGCUGUGGUGGGACGUCAGAGUCAGUUCGUAUGUUGCGGGAAAUGGUUAGUGGGGAGGUAGGUCACUUCGGUGGCUGUUAUAUCCUGCUAAUUAGUCGUCGUGGCUGGGACUGAGGUGCCUACAACGUGCUUUUGAGUCUGCGGGUCUCUCGUGUUGCUGUUUGCCUUGAUAGCUUGCUANGUUGGUGAAUAAGUAGUGCGANUGAGGGUUUGUAGUNAGCUUGUUGCUGUUCGGGGACUUUUGG